GAUAAACGCUGGCGGCGUGCAUAACACAUGCAAGUCGAACGAUGAAACUUAACUGAUUUCUUCGGAAUGAUUUUAAGUGGAUUAGUGGCGGACGGGUGAGUAACGCGUGAGUAACCUGCCUUGCACAAGGGGAUAGCCGUUGGAAACGACGAAUAAUACCCUAUGAUAUAAACUCUUCGCAUGAAGAGCUUAUCAAAGAUUUAUCGGUGUAAGAUGGACUCGCGUCUGAUUAGCUAGUUGGUGGGGUAACAGCCUACCAAGGCAACGAUCAGUAGCCGGCUUGAGAGAGUGUACGGCCACAUUGGGACUGAGACACGGCCCAGACUCCUACGGGAGGCAGCAGUGGGGAAUUUUGCACAAUGGGGGCAACCCUGAUGCAGCGACGCCGCGUGAUUUAGAAGGCCUUCGGGUUGUAAAAAUCUUUUGUAUGGGAAGAAAAUGACAGUACCAUACGAAUAAGGACCGGCUAAUUACGUGC
rnacentral:rRNA from 1 species